UACGUAGGGGGCGAGCGUUGUCCGGAUUUAUUGGGCGUAAAGAGCGUGUAGGCGGCUAGGUAGGUCCGUUGUGAAAACUCGAGGCUCAACCUCGAGACGUCGAUGGAAACCAUCUAGCUAGAGUCCGGAAGAGGAGAGUGGAAUUCCUGGUGUAGCGGUGAAAUGCGUAGAUAUCGUAAGGAAGACCAGUGGCGAAGGCGGGUCUCUGGACAGUUCCUGACGCUGAGGCACGAAGGUCAGGGGAGCAAACGGG
rnacentral:rRNA from 1 species